rnacentral:rRNA from 1 species
UCCCUAUGGGGUGCAGCAGUCGCGAAAACUCCGCAAUGCACGAAAGUGUGACGGGGCUACCCCGAGUGCCACCCGCUGAGGGUGGCUUUUCUUUGGUAUAAUUAGCCAUUGGAAUAAGGAGAGGGCAAGACUGGUGCCAGCCGCCGCGGUAAUACCAGCUCUCCGAGUGGUAGGGAUGAUUAUUGGGCUUAAAGCGUCCGUAGCCGGCUUAGCAAGUCUCCUGUUAAACUCAGCGACCUAAUCGUUGACCCGCGGGAGAUACUACUAGGCUAGGAGGCGGGAGAGGUCGACGGUACUUCUGGGGUAGGGGUGAAAUCCUAUAAUCCCGGGAGGACCACCAGUGGCGAAGGCGGUCGACUAGAACGUGCCUGACGGUGAGGGACGAAAGCUGGGGGAGCGAACCGGAUUAGAUACCCGGGUAGUCCCAGCUGUAAACGAUGCGGGCUAGGUGUAGGGGCAGCUACGAGCUGCUCCUGUGCCGCAGAGAAAUUGUUAAGCCCGCCGCCUGGGGAGUACGAUCGCAAGAUUGAAACUUAAAGGAAUUGGCGGGGGAGCACCACAAGGGGUGAAGGCUGCGGUUUAAUUGGAUUCAACGCCGGAA